rnacentral:rRNA from 1 species
CCAAUAGCGUAUAUUAAAGUUGUUGCAGUUAAAAAGCUCGUAGUUGAAUUUCGGGAUCAAUUUAUCGGUCGUGCCUACGGUAUGAACUGGUACAAUUGGUUUCUCCCUUCUGACGAAGCAUGAUGUCAUUAAUUUGGUGUCGUGGGGAAUCAGGACUGUUACUUUGAAAAAAUUAGAGUGUUUAAAGCAAGCAUUAGCUUGAAUACAUUAGCAUGGAAUAAUGAAAUAGGACGUUUGAUCCUAUUUCGUUGGUUUCUAGGAUCGACGUAAUGAUUAAUAGGGAUAGUUGGGGGCAUUAGUAUUCAAUUGUCAGAGGUGAAAUUCUUGGAUUUAUUGAAGACUAACUACUGCGAAAGCAUUUGCCAAGGAUGUUUUCAUUAAUCAAGAACGAAAGUUAGGGGAUCGAAGACGAUCAGAUACCGUCGUAGUCUUAACCAUAAACUAUGCCGACUAGGGAUCGGAUGAUGUUAAUUUUUUAAUGACUCAUUCGGCGCCUUACG